UACGUAGGGGGCUAGCGUUGUCCGGAAUCAUUGGGCGUAAAGCGCGUGUAGGCGGUCCGGUAAGUCCGCUGUGAAAGUCGGGGGCUCAACCCUCGAAUGCCGGUGGAUACUGUCGGGCUAGAGUGCGGGAGAGGGAUGUGGAAUUCCAGGUGUAGCGGUGAAAUGCGCAGAUAUCAGAAGGAACACCGGUGGCGAAGGCGGCGACCUGGUCCUUUUACUGACGCUGAGGCGCGAAAGCGUGGGGAGCAAACAGG
rnacentral:rRNA from 1 species